AUUGAACGCUGGCGGAAUGCUUUACACAUGCAAGUCGAACGGCAGCACGGACUUCGGUCUGGUGGCGAGUGGCGAACGGGUGAGUAAUGUAUCGGAACGUGCCCAGUCGUGGGGGAUAACGUAGUGAAAAUUACGCUAAUACCGCAUACGAUCUAUGAAUGAAAGCGGGGGAUCGCAAGACCUCGCGCGAUUGGAGCGGCCGAUAUCAGAUUAGGUAGUUGGUGGGGUAAAGGCCCACCAAGCCAACGAUCUGUAGCGGGUCUGAGAGGACGACCAGCCACACUGGAACUGAGACACGGUCCAGACUCCUACGGGAGGCAGCAGUGGGGAAUUUUGGACAAUGGGCGAAAGCCUGAUCCAGCCAUUCCGCGUGCAGGAUGAAGGCCCUCGGGUUGUAAACUGCUUUUGUACAGAACGAAAAGGUUUCUACUAAUACUAGGAGCUCAUGACGGUACUGUAAGAAUAAGCACCGGCUAACUACGUGCCAGCAGCCGCAGUAA
rnacentral:rRNA from 1 species